UCCCAUGUGGCUCAGUUGGUAGAGCAUGGUGUUUGCAAUGCCAGGGUUGUGGGUUCGAUUCCCACGGGGGAC
rfam:Salmo salar isolate Sally breed double haploid chromosome ssa14, whole genome shotgun sequence.